UUAAAUGCGUUGAGAGGGAAAAAAACACUGCGUUAUGACGCUUCAGAGAGCUGUUGGUUGCUGAGAAACAGCGCGCAAAGCAGUCGUGAAACUCACCCUGGAGCAGUCAACUGAAAGCUGAACCAUUUCAUGGUGGCUGAAGCGAGUAAGUGUGAACGGUUUUUCUCGCCGUUAUCAUGAGACGGCAUUAGUCAUUUGACAAUGCCACAGAGUGGAUAUGUUUCAUAUCAACGAGAGUGGUACCACGGAAGUUCAAAGCUUUCGUCUCUUAG
rnacentral:ncRNA from 1 species